rnacentral:lncRNA from 1 species
CUUUAUUUCACAAUACAAAUUUAAAAGAUUAUUUAAGGUAUAAGUGACUUACUCAAGUAUUCACUGCUAGCUGGUAACAUUGUUAGGUCCUCAAUCCACUUUUUGACUUAAGUAAAAAAAAAAAAACUUAAAGCAAUUUUUAUUGUAACAGGGUCCUAGGGAUUAGACCUGCAGUUGCUUGGAGUAACUAUAAUCAGGGUAAAGCCUUGCAUCUUGCCUGUAUAUUAUACCUUUAUUAUAUUAAAACCUUGGGUCAUAUGAUUGCUUUGCUGUGCACAUAGGCAUGAUAAUCAUUUAAGAAGUGCCUGUCUAAAAAUUACUAAUGCAGGUUUAAUAGACUUAAAUUCACCUAGCUUAUCCCAUACCCUUCAAGACUGAAGACACAAAGAUAAAGAAUAAAGUAACUUUUAAGAUGUGCAGGGACAUCCAGUUGCCAGGGUUUACAGUGUUCAGUUCCAGACACCUUGAAAUGCCUAGUAGUGUUGUCAUUGUCCUAAACCUACAGUUUCAUCAGAUUCCAAGCAGAGCUUCUCAUAGAGCACUUCAUUAUGAGGUCAUCCUUCAAUCAAAAGCAGUUAUUCUGUGACAAAACCAAGACUGGCGUGAACAGGAGCCAGCCUCUCAUGAUGGGGACUGAAUUGCUCCCUCAAGUGAGGAUGGUUCUCCCACAACCUUGUAGAGCCAGUUCUGAGAUACUUAUUGAUCAACCAGACCAUGACUGUUGCAUACAUUUUUUCUCCAGUUACUUCAGAGUAUUUUAUACACAAAAGCAUACAUGAGUGUUAGGACUGGUAACAGAUUGAUCAUACACCAUGAUGCACCCUGUUAUGUGGUCAAGAGUUCAACUCUACCAGAGCUUGUUAAGAUGGAAAGAAUUGGUAAGUAGUACUAGAAGCUGUAGGUUGUAUACAGUAUGCAAUUAAAUAAAAAACUCUGAAGGGUAGAUUAAAAGUCUACAGGAAAAUUACUUGAUAGCAC